rnacentral:tRNA from 2 species
AAGGAUUUAAGUUAAACAAACUCACAGCCUUCAAAGCUGUAAAUAAAGAAAGGUACUUUAAGCCUUA